rnacentral:lncRNA from 1 species
GGCCCCCGCCUCCCCCCGCCCCCCACCCCCCGGCCCCUCACCUCCACUGUGAUCCACUGAGAACACCCCAGGCUGGGACUGAGAAAUAAGCUCGUACGACCAGGUGAUACAGCGCUGGCCCCUGGGGAGGGGGACAGGCAGGAAGAAGGUUCCAGAACCUGGCCAGGCCUUUCCCAGGGGCUGCCCCCAGGUGGACCCACCGGGAGGGCCCACUCACAAGCCCUACGCAGACCUGGGGCUUUGCCCUGUGGAGGGGGACCUCAGCCCUGGGAGCUCUGAUGCCGUGUGGCCCACCCAUCUGUGACCUCGGUCUGGACCAUCCGUUGACCAUUCCUCGGCCUGGAAUCAGACCUGAAAUGCACCCGAGGCGCACGCUCGAGGGACGGUGUUUCUGGGCCGUGACGUGCCUGGGAGAGCUCUGGGUGGGCCCUGGACUUGAGCUGGGAGGCAGGACCUGGUGCCCUGACCCUGCCAGGCAAACGCACUCGACUGACAGCAACAGCGGAGGCUUCCGGAGGUGGCGUUUGCACUGGGUCCCAGCCCCCGGAGGGAUCGGGAGCGGCCAGUCACCCCGGCCGGUCCACCACAGUGCCUGUCGCCCUGGACAACACAGCAACAGGUCCAGGGGAAUGCAGGACUCAAGAAGAGCCGACCAGACACCAUGGCCAGGCCGGCCUGGAUGUUUCUUCUGUUCUGGAAUUUUGGUCCUGAGGAGGGCCGCCUGGGCAGAAUGUCACGAUGGACGAUGGGGGCUCACCCCUGCUUCCAGACAGCCUGGUUUACCAGGUCUUCCUGAGCCUGGGCCCGGCCGACGUGCUGGCCGCCGGGCU